rnacentral:rRNA from 1 species
UACGUAGGUGACAAGCGUUGUCCGGAUUUACUGGGCGUAAAGAGCGCGCAGGCGGUCGUUCAAGUCGAGUGUGAAAGCCCCCUGCUCAACUGGGGAGGGUCACUCGAUACUGAUCGACUCGAAGGCAGGAGAGGGAAGUGGAAUUCCCGGUGUAGCGGUGGAAUGCGUAGAGAUCGGGAAGAACAUCGGUGGCGAAGGCGGCCAGCUGGGCCGUUGCUGACACUGAGGCGCGACAGCGUGGGGAGCAAACAGG